rnacentral:misc_RNA from 1 species
AGCCCUUGACAUGUCCCGUAUGGAUCUCAUCUCUGAAAUCCAUACGGGACAUGUCAAGGGCUGGUAAGGUUCUGCGCGUUGCUUCGAAUUGAACCACAUGCUCCACCGCUUGUGCGGGUCCCCGUCAAUUCCUUUGAGUUUUAACCUUGCGGCCGUACUCCCCAGGCGGUCAACUUCACGCGUUAGCUUCGUUACCAAGGGAGUUAAUCCCCCGACAACCAGUUGACAUAGUUUAGGGCGUGGACUAC